UGCCAGCCGCCGCGGUAAUACGGAGGGGGUUAGCGUUGUUCGGAAUUACUGGGUUUAAAGGGUCCGUAGGCGGGUUAUUAAGUCAGUGGUGAAAUCCUACAGCUCAACUGUAGAACUGCCAUUGAAACUGGUAACCUUGAGUAUAAUUGAAGUGGGCGGAAUGUGUCAUGUAGCGGUGAAAUGCUUAGAUAUGACACAGAACACCGAUCGCGAAGGCAGCUCACUAAGUUAUAACUGACGCUGAGGGACGAAAGCGUGGGUAGCGAACAGGAUUAGAUA
rnacentral:rRNA from 1 species